AGCGUACACGGUGGAUGCCUAGGCAGUCAGAGGCGAUGAAGGGCGUGCUAAUCUGCGAAAAGCGUCGGUAAGGUGAUAUGAACCGUUACAACCGGCGAUACCCGAAUGGGGAAACCCAGUGUGUUUCGACACACUAUCAUGUCAUGAAUACAUAGUGGCAUGAGGCGAACCGGGGGAACUGAAACAUCUAAGUACCCCGAGGAAAAGAAAUCAACCGAGAUUCCCCCAGUAGCGGCGAGCGAACGGGGAGGAGCCCAGAACCUGAAUCGGCUUGUGUGUUAGUGGAAGCGUCUGGAAAGUCGCGCAGCAAAGGGUGAUAGCCCCGUACACUAAAAUGCACAGGUCGUGAGUUCGAUGAGUAGGGCGGGACACGUGACAUCCUGUCUGAAUAUGGGGGGACCAUCCUCCAAGGCUAAAUACUCCUGACUGACCGAUAGUGAACCAGUACCGUGAGGGAAAGGCGAAAAGAACCCCGGCGAGGGGAGUGAAAUAGAACCUGAAACCGUGUACGUACAAGCAGUGGGAGCACCUUCGUGGUGUGACUGCGUACCUUUUGUAUAAUGGGUCAGCGACUUAUAUUUUGUAGCAAGGUUAACCGUAUAGGGGAGCCGUAGGGAAACCGAGUCUUAACUGGGCGAAUAGUUGCAAGGUAUAGACCCGAAACCCGGUGAUCUAGCCAUGGGCAGGUUGAAGGUUGGGUAACACUAACUGGAGGACCGAACCGACUAAUGUUGAAAAAUUAGCGGAUGACUUGUGGCUGGGGGUGAAAGGCCAAUCAAACCGGGAGAUAGCUGGUUCUCCCCGAAAGCUAUUUAGGUAGCGCCUCGUGAACUCAUCUUCGGGGGUAGAGCACUGUUUCGGCUAGGGGGCCAUCCCGGCUUACCAAACCGAUGCAAACUCCGAAUACCGAAGAAUGUUAUCACGGGAGACACACGGCGGGUGCUAACGUCCGUCGUGAAGAGGGAAACAACCCAGACCGCCAGCUAAGGUCCCAAAGUCAUGGUUAAGUGGGAAACGAUGUGGGAAGGCAUAGACAGCCAGGAUGUUGGCUUAGAAGCAGCCAUCAUUUAAAGAAAGCGUAAUAGCUCACUGGUCGAGUCGGCCUGCGCGGAAGAUGUAACGGGGCUAAACCAUGCACCGAAGCUGCGGCAGCGACGCUUAGGCGUUGUUGGGUAGGGGAGCGUUCUGUAAGCCGUUGAAGGUGGCCUGUGAGGGUUGCUGGAGGUAUCAGAAGUGCGAAUGCUGACAUAAGUAACGAUAAAGCGGGUGAAAAGCCCGCUCGCCGGAAGACCAAGGGUUCCUGUCCAACGUUAAUCGGGGCAGGGUGAGUCGACCCCUAAGGCGAGGCUGAAAAGCGUAGUCGAUGGGAAACAGGUUAAUAUUCCUGUACUUGGUGUUACUGCGAAGGGGGGACGGAGAAGGCUAGGCUAGCCGGGCGACGGUUGUCCCGGUUUAAGCGUGUAGGGGGUGUGACCUGGUAAAUCCGGUUNNNNNNNNNNNNAACCCUGAGGCGUGAUGACGAUGCACUACGGUGCAGAAGUAGUUGAUGCCCUGCUUCCAGGAAAAGCCUCUAAGCUCUAGGUAACAUUAAAUCGUACCCCAAACCGACACAGGUGGUCAGGUAGAGAAUACCAAGGCGCUUGAGAGAACUCGGGUGAAGGAACUAGGCAAAAUGGUGCCGUAACUUCGGGAGAAGGCACGCUGGCAUGUAGGUGAAGUCCCUUGCGGAUGGAGCUGAAGCCAGUCGAAGAUACCAGCUGGCUGCAACUGUUUAAUAAAAACACAGCACUGUGCAAACACGAAAGUGGACGUAUACGGUGUGACGCCUGCCCGGUGCUGGAAGGUUAAUUGAUGGGGUCAGCCGCAAGGCGAAGCUCUUGAUCGAAGCCCCAGUAAACGGCGGCCGUAACUAUAACGGUCCUAAGGUAGCGAAAUUCCUUGUCGGGUAAGUUCCGACCUGCACGAAUGGCGUAAUGAUGGCCAGGCUGUCUCCACCCGAGACUCAGUGAAAUUGAACUCGCUGUGAAGAUGCAGUGUACCCGCGGCAAGACGGAAAGACCCCGUGAACCUUUACUAUAGCUUGACACUGAACAUUGAGCCUUGAUGUGUAGGAUAGGUGGGAGGCUUUGAAGCGUGGACGCCAGUCUGCGUGGAGCCAUCCUUGAAAUACCACCCUUUAAUGUUUGAUGUUCUAACUCGGCCCCGUGAUCCGGGGUGAGGACAGUGUCUGGUGGGUAGUUUGACUGGGGCGGUCUCCUCCCAAAGAGUAACGGAGGAGCACGAAGGUUAGCUAAUCACGGUCGGACAUCGUGAGGUUAGUGCAAAGGCAUAAGCUAGCUUGACUGCGAGAGUGACGGCUCGAGCAGGUACGAAAGUAGGUCUUAGUGAUCCGGUGGUUCUGAAUGGAAGGGCCAUCGCUCAACGGAUAAAAGGUACUCCGGGGAUAACAGGCUGAUACCGCCCAAGAGUUCAUAUCGACGGCGGUGUUUGGCACCUCGAUGUCGGCUCAUCACAUCCUGGGGCUGAAGUAGGUCCCAAGGGUAUGGCUGUUCGCCAUUUAAAGUGGUACGCGAGCUGGGUUUAGAACGUCGUGAGACAGUUCGGUCCCUAUCUGCCGUGGGCGUUGGAAGAUUGAGAGGGGUUGCUCCUAGUACGAGAGGACCGGAGUGAACGCACCACUGGUGUUCGGGUUGUCAUGCCAAUGGCAUUGCCCGGUAGCUAAGUGCGGAAAAGAUAAGCGCUGAAAGCAUCUAAGCGCGAAACUUGCCUCAAGAUGAGUCUUCCCUGGGCCUUUAAGGCCCCUGAAGGAACGUUUAAGACUAAGACGUUGA
rnacentral:rRNA from 1 species